rnacentral:rRNA from 1 species
AUUGAACGCUGGCGGCAGGCCUAACACAUGCAAGUCGAACGGUAACAGAAAGCAGCUUGCUGCUUUGCUGACGAGUGGCGGACGGGUGAGUAAUGUCUGGGAAACUGCCUGAUGGAGGGGGAUAACUACUGGAAACGGUAGCUAAUACCGCAUAACGUCGCAAGACCAAAGAGGGGGACCUUCGGGCCUCUUGCCAUCGGAUGUGCGCAGAUGGGAUUAGCGAGUAGGUGGGGGAACGGCUCACCUAGGCGACGCUCUCUAGCUGGUCUGAGAGGAUGACCAGCCACACUGGAAGUGAGACACGGUCCAGACUCCUACAGGAGGCAGCAGUGGAGAAUAUUGCGCGAUGGAGGCAAGCCUGAUGCAGCCAUGCCGCGUGUAUGAAGAAGUCGUUCGGGUUGUAAAGUGCUUACAGCGGGGAGGAAGUAAGUAAAGUUAAUACCUUUAGACAUUGACGUUACCCGCAGAAGAAGCACCGGCUAACUCCGUG